rnacentral:rRNA from 1 species
AUGAAAGAAGCGUGUUGGUUUGGAGGAUUUGCAUUUGAGCAACAAACGGAAGCAAGCAAUGAUGAUGAUGAUGAGGAUGAUGCAUCAAGUGAUGACGGCAAGAGAAGCCCCACAUCCAACUCGGUUUCAUACUCGAAGCCAAAACGAUCGGAUGGGUGCAAGAAAGACAAAACCGAAAAGAAGAAGAAGAAAGAAGAUGAUGAGCUCAAAAAUGAUAUGGAAGCUAUUGUGAAGGCAAGGGUCGACGCCAAUGAGGUGAGGAAAAUGGCAAGGAACCAAGAUGCCGUGGCCGAGGAGAGGAGGUUGGCGGCCGAGGAGAGAAGGGUGACGACCGAGGAGAGAAAGGUGACUUUGGAGGAGAGGAAAGUGAGCAACGAGGAGCGAGCUAAGUUGUUGGAAUGGGAGAAGCACUUGUUCUUCUUGGACACAUCUAACCUCAAUGCGGCGCAAAAAAAGUAUGUCAAUCUUGCCCAACAAGAAGUCUUGAUCCAAAAAAGAGUCUUGGUUCGUGCAAUGGGUAGCGGUGGCUUCGGCGCCAUGGGUGGCGGUGGACUCGGCGCCAUGGGAGGCAUGGGUGGCUUCGGAGCCAUGGGAGGCAUGGGUGCACCUCCGGCCGCCAUGGGAGGCAUGGAUGUACCUCCGGCCGCCAUGGGAGGCAUGGGUGGCUUUGGAGCACCCUCCGACGCUAUGGCCGCCAUGGAAGGCAUGCGUUUUGCUUCUCUCAUGGGAGGUAUGGAUGCACCUCCGGCCGCCAUGGGUGCAAUGUCUUUCGAUGUGCCUUCUCACACACAUUCCCAUAAAGAUGCCGUUGAAGAUCUUGCCAACACCGCCGGAGCUUCACAUGAUGCGGUGCGUGAUGCGGUGCGUGAUGAGGAGAGGGAGGAAGAUUCAUCUUCAGAGGCGGAAGAGUCGUCUUCGAAAGAUGAGGACGAAGACGAAGACGAGGAAGAUGAAGAUUGA